UGAAGCCGGAAUUGCUAGUAAUGGCAGGUCAGCAUACUGCCGUGAAUACGUUCCCGGGCCUUGUACACACCGCCCGUCACACCAUGAGAGUUGGGAAUACCCGAAGCCUGUGAGCUAACUAUAUGAGGCAGCAGUCGAAGGUAGAAUCAAUGAUUGGGGUGAAGUCGUAACAAGGUAAC
rnacentral:rRNA from 1 species